rnacentral:rRNA from 1 species
CCUACGGGCGGCAGCAGUGAGGAAUAUUGGUCAAUGGACGAGAGUCUGAACCAGCCAAGUAGCGUGAAGGAUGACUGCCCUAUGGGUUGUAAACUUCUUUUAUAUGGGAAUAAAACGUUCCACGUGUGGGAUUUUGUAUGUACCAUAUGAAUAAGGAUCGGCUAACUCCGUGCCAGCAGCCGCGGUAAUACGGAGGAUCCGAGCGUUAUCCGGAUUUAUUGGGUUUAAAGGGAGCGUAGGUGGAUUGUUAAGUCAGUUGUGAAAGUUUGCGGCUCAACCGUAAAAUUGCAGUUGAGACUGGCAGUCUUGAGUACAGUAGAGGUGGGCGGAAUUCGUGGUGUAGCGGUGAAAUGCUUAGAGAUCACGAAGAACUCCGAUUGCGAAGGCAGUUCACUGGACUGCAACUGACACUGAGGCUCGAAAGUGUGGGUAUCAAACAGGAUUAGAUACCCGAGUAGUC